rnacentral:rRNA from 1 species
UUGGAGGGCAAGUCUGGUGCCAGCAGCCGCGGUAAUUCCAGCUCCAAUAGCGUAUAUUAAAGUUGUUGCAGUUAAAAAGCUCGUAGUUGAAUUUCGGGGUUCUACCGUUGGUCGGGCUUUGUCUGUACUGGUGUGUAGAAUUUCUACCUUCUGGGGAACCAUCAUGCUAUUAAUUUAGCGUGGUGGGAAACCAGGACCUUUACCUUGAAAAAAUUAGUGUGUUCAAAGCAGGCUUAUGUCUGAAUACAUUAGCGUGGAAUAAUAGAAUAGGACGGUGGUCCUGUUUUGUUGGUUUCUGAAUCACCGUAAUGAUUAAUAGGGAUAGUUGGGGGCAUUAGUAUUCAAUUGUCAGAGGUGAAAUUCUUGGAUUUAUUGAAGACUAACUUCUGCGAAAGCAUUUGCCAAGGAUGUUUUCAUUAAUCAAGAACGAAAGUUAGGGGAUCGAAGACGAUCAGAUACCGUCGUAGUCUUAACCAUAAACUAUGCCGACUAGGGAUCGGACGAUGUUAAUUUCUCUUGACUCGUUCGGCGCCUUACGGGAAAC